UACGGAGGGUGCAAGCGUUAUCCGGAUUUAUUGGGUUUAAAGGGUGCGUAGGCGGUAAAAUAAGUCAGUGGUGAAAAGCUGCAGCUCAACUGUAGUCCUGCCAUUGAAACUGUUUUACUUGAGUAACCAUGAGGUAGGCGGAAUGUGUAGUGUAGCGGUGAAAUGCUUAGAUAUUACACAGAACACCGAUUGCGUAGGCAGCUUACUAGAGGUUCACUGACGCUGAUGCACGAAAGCGUGGGGAUCAAACAGGAUUAGAUACCCUGGUAGUCCACGCCGUAAACGAUGAUAACUCGCUGUUGGCGAUACACAGUCAGCGGCUUAGCGAAAGCGUUAAGUUAUCCACCUGGGGAGUACGCUCGCAAGAGUGAA
rnacentral:rRNA from 1 species